UUUGCUCGCGAGUCCAACAUCC
rnacentral:siRNA from 1 species